rnacentral:rRNA from 1 species
CUGAUCCAGCCAUGCCGCGUGUCUGAAGAAGGCCUUCGGGUUGUAAAGGACUUUUGUUAGGGAAGAAAAGAGAAGUGUUAAUACCACUUUUUGCUGACGGUACCUAAAGAAUAAGCACCGGCUAACUACGUGCCAGCAGCCGCGGUAAUACGUAGGGUGCGAGCGUUAAUCGGAAUUACUGGGCGUAAAGCGAGCGCAGACGGUUACUUAAGCAGGAUGUGAAAUCCCCGGGCUCAACCUGGGAACUGCGUUCUGAACUGGGUAGCUAGAGUAUGUCAGAGGGGGGUAGAAUUCCACGUGUAGCAGUGAAAUGCGUAGAGAUGUGGAGGAAUACCGAUGGCGAAGGCAGCCCCCUGGGAUAAUACUGACGUUCAUGCUCGAAAGCGUGGGUAGCAAACAGGAUUAGAUACCCUGGUAGUCCACGCCCUAAACGAUGUCGAUUAGCUGUUGGGCAACUUGAUUGCUUAGUAGCGUAGCUAACGCGUGAAAUCGACCGCCUGGGGAGUACGGUCGCAAGAUUAAAACUCAAAGGAAUUGACGGGGACCCGCACAAGCGGUGGAUGAUGUGGAUUAAUUCGAUGCAACGCGAAGAACCUUACCUGGUCUUGACAUGUACGGAAGAAUCAGAACGAGUUUGUGCUUCG